AAAGUUAACUAAACAGUCGCUGCUUUUUAAUAUUAAUUUAUAUUUUAAUUUGUAUAUAUAAAAAGGGGAGGAAAGUCCGGGCUCCUAGGGUAGGGUGCCAGGUAAUACCUGGGAAGUGAGAGCUUACGACUAGUGCAACAGAAAAUAAACCGCUUAAGUUGUAAUUUUAAGUAAGGGUGAAAAGGUGUGGUAAGAGCACACCGCAUACCUGGUAACAGUGUAUGGUAUUGUAAACUCCACCUGGAGCAAGGCCAAACAGGGAUUUAAAGUAUAACCCAUACUAAUGCCCGGGUAGGCUGCUUGAACUAACAAGUAAUUGUUAGUCUAGAUGAAUGACUGUUCACGACAGAACCCGGCUUACAGGUUGACUUUUUAA
rnacentral:RNase_P_RNA from 1 species